UACGUAGGGUGCAAGCGUUGUCCGGAAUUAUUGGGCGUAAAGGGCUCGUAGGCGGUCCGUCACGUCGGGAGUGAAAUCCUGGGGCUUAACCCCAGAACUGCUUCCGAUACGGGCAGACUAGAGGUAGGUAGGGGAGAAUGGAAUUCCUGGUGUAGCGGUGGAAUGCGCAGAUAUCAGGAGGAACACCAAUGGCGAAGGCAGAUCUCUGGGCCGUAACUGACGCUGAGGAGCGAAAGCAUGGGGAGCGAACAGG
rnacentral:rRNA from 1 species